UACGUAGGGUGCAAGCGUUAAUCGGAAUUACUGGGCGUAAAGCGUGCGCAGGCGGUUGUGCCAGACAGAUGUGAAAUCCCCGGGCUUAACCUGGGAAUUGCAUUUGUGACUGUACGGCUAGAGUGUGUCAGAGGGGGGUAGAAUUCCACGUGUAGCAGUGAAAUGCGUAGAGAUGUGGAGGAAUACCGAUGGCGAAGGCAGCCCCCUGGGAUAACACUGACGCUCAUGCACGAAAGCGUGGGGAGCAAACAGG
rnacentral:rRNA from 1 species